GCAGUAGCCGCGGGAAUACGGAGGAUCCAAGCGUUAUCCGGAAUCAUUGGGUUUAAAGGGUCCGUAGGCGGUCUUGUAAGUCAGUGGUGAAAGCCCAUCGCUCAACGGUGGAACGGCCAUUGAUACUGCAGGACUUGAAUUAUUUGGAAGUAACUAGAAUAUGUAGUGUAGCGGUGAAAUGCUUAGAGAUUACAUGGAAUACCAAUUGCGAAGGCAGGUUACUACCAAUUGAUUGACGCUGAUGGACGAAAGCGUGGGUAGCGAACAGGAUUAGAUACCCCCGUAGUCCCUGUCUCUUAUAC
rnacentral:rRNA from 1 species